rnacentral:rRNA from 1 species
UACGUAGGUGACAAGCGUUGUCCGGAUUUAUUGGGUUUAAAGGGUGCGUAGGCGGUCUUCUAAGUCAGUUGUGAAAUACUUCAGCUUAACUGGAGAGGUGCAAUUGAUACUGGAAGACUUGAGUACUGAUGAGGUAGGCGGAAUGGACGGUGUAGCGGUGAAAUGCUUAGAUAUCGUCCAGAACACCGAUAGCGAAGGCAGCUUACUAAGGAGUAACUGACGCUGAGGCACGAAAGUGUGGGGAUCAAACAGG